UGGGGAAUAUUGGGCAAUGGGGGAAACCCUGACCCAGCAACGCCGCGUGAAGGAAGAAGGCCCUCGGGUUGUAAACUUCUUUUACCAGGGACGAAGGACGUGACGGUACCUGGAGAAAAAGCAACGGCUAACUACGUGCCAGCAGCCGCGGUAAUGCGUAGGUUGCAAGCGUUGUCCGGAUUUACUGGGUGUAAAGGGCGUGUAGGCGGAGAUGCAAGUCAGAUGUGAAAUCCCCGGGCUUAACCCGGGAACUGCAUUUGAAACUGUAUCCCUUGAGUAUCGGAGAGGCAGGCGGAAUUCCUAGUGUAGCGGUGAAAUGCGUAGAUAUUAGGAGGAACACCAGUGGCGAAGGCGGCCUGCUGGACGACAACUGACGCUGAGGCGCGAAAGCGUGGGGAGCAAACAGGAUUAGAUACCCUGGUAGU
rnacentral:rRNA from 1 species